GACGAACGCUGGCGGCGUGCCUAAUACAUGCAAGUCGAACGCAGUGGGGACGGGUGAGUAACACGUGGGUAACCUCCUACCAGAGGGGAUAACACUUGGAAACAGGUGCUAAACCGAUACUGAUGGCUUGACACGCGGUGCAUUAGAUAGCUGGUGAGGUAAAGGCCCACCAAGGCCACGAUGCAUAGUAGAAGUGAGAGGGUGAUCGGCAAGACUGGGACGGAGACACGGCCCAGACUGCUACGGGAGGCAGCAGUAGGGAAUCUUCGACAAUGGACGAAAGUCUGACCGAGCGAUGCCGCGUGAGUGAAGAAGGUUUUCGGAUCGUAAAGCACUGUUAUUAGAGAGGCGGUAUCUAACCAGAAAGCCACGGCUAACUACGUGCCAGCAGCCGCGGUAAUAC
rnacentral:rRNA from 1 species